rnacentral:ncRNA from 2 species
GUUGAUUUGUAAAAAAUGUUGCGACUCUCAUCAGUAAUGAUGAUGACAAAACUUGGCUAUAUGCUGGAACAACUCAGUAUCCGACAGUACCCUUCGACUAAUCCUCAGGGUGAAAAUCUGUUCGGUGGAGUCAAUCAGCAGGAAAGGUUUUAUCACAUUUAUGUGAUAAAAAAUCCUCAGAGGCCAUAUGCCAAGCCCCGUUACAAACGGGUGAAGAUAUGGUCCAUACGUCACAGCGAUGUGAUG